rnacentral:rRNA from 1 species
GACAGAGGGUGCAAACGUUGCUCGGAAUCACUGGGCGUAAAGGGCGCGUAGGCGGCCGUGCAAGUGGAAGGUGAAAUCCCUCGGCUCAACCGAGGAACUGCCUUUCAAACUGCAUGGCUUGAGUCCGGGAGAGGUGAGUGGAAUUCCCAGUGUAGCGGUGAAAUGCGUAGAUAUUGGGAGGAACACCAGUGGCGAAGGCGGCUCACUGGACCGGAACUGACGCUGAGGCGCGAAAGCGUGGGGAGCAAACGGG